GACAGAGGGUGCAAACGUUGUUCGGAAUUACUGGGCGUAAAGCGUGUGUAGGCGGUCUUACAAGUCAGGUGUGAAAGCCCCGGGCUCAACCCGGGAAGUGCACUUGAUACUGUUUGACUUGAGUACUGGAGAGGUUGGUGGAAUUCUCGGUGUAGAGGUGAAAUUCGUAGAUAUCGAGAGGAACACCGGUGGCGAAGGCGGCCAACUGGACAGAUACUGACGCUGAGACACGAAAGCGUGGGGAGCAAACAGG
rnacentral:rRNA from 1 species